AGAGUUUGAUCAUGGCUCAGGAUGCACGCUGGCGGCGUGCCUAAUACAUGCAAGUCGAACGCUUUGUGCUUAAUUGAUAUGAUGAGCUUGCUCUGAUUUUGAUUUUUUGAUUUCAAAGAGUGGCGCACGGGUGAGUAACACGUGGGUAACCUACCUCUUAGCAGGGGAUAACAUUUGGAAACAAGUGCUAAUACCGUAUAAUACCAACAACCGCAUGGUUGUUGGUUGAAAGAUGGUUCUGCUAUCACUAAGAGAUGGACCCGCGGUGCAUUAGCUAGUUGGUAAGGUAAUGGCUUACCAAGGCAAUGAUGCAUAGCCGAGUUGAGAGACUGAUCGGCCACAAUGGGACUGAGACACGGCCCAUACUCCUACGGGAGGCAGCAGUAGGGAAUCUUCCACAAUGGGCGCAAGCCUGAUGGAGCAACGCCGCGUGUGUGAUGAAGGGUUUCGGCUCGUAAAACACUGUUAUAAGAGAAGAACGGCACUGAGAGUAACUGUUCAGUGUGUGACGGUAUCUUACCAGAAAGGAACGGCUAAAUACGUGCCAGCAGCCGCGGUAAUACGUAUGUUCCAAGCGUUAUCCGGAUUUAUUGGGCGUAAAGCGAGCGCAGACGGUUAUUUAAGUCUGAAGUGAAAGCCCUCAGCUCAACUGAGGAAUUGCUUUGGAAACUGGAUGACUUGAGUGCAGUAGAGGAAAGUGGAACUCCAUGUGUAGCGGUGAAAUGCGUAGAUAUAUGGAAGAACACCAGUGGCGAAGGCGGCUUUCUGGACUGUAACUGACGUUGAGGCUCGAAAGUGUGGGUAGCAAACAGGAUUAGAUACCCUGGUAGUCCACACCGUAAACGAUGAGUGUAGAUGUUGCGAGGGUUUCCGC
rnacentral:rRNA from 1 species